UUUUUGUUUUCAGUCUCUCCUUUAGUUUUUGAAUCAUCUGAACAAUUUGAUGUAGGAUUUUAUCAUUUUAUGGAAUACUGAAACAUGUUUGAAAUUUAUUACAAGCAAAGUCUUAUUAAUAGAAUAGUAUUCCUGUUGGCAUAUAUGAUACAUAAUAGUUGUGAAAAUGAAACUCCCGUUUUACAUCCACUUUCCAUUCCUCCAGAUCUUAAUAUCGGAGACAGUCUUGACAUUCAGUGUAGCUUGAAAAGAGGAAGUCUUCCCGUUACAUUUGAAUGGAAAGUAAACGGUGUCAUGCCUGCAAAACGAAUUGGAAUUCGUAUUAAUACAUCAAAUAAACGAAGUAAUUAUGUUAUAGACAACAUCUCAGCUUCGGAUGUUGGUAAUUAUACGUGUGUCGCAUCAAAUGAAAAUGGUUCAGAUAGA